AUCUUACCGAAUCGUGCAAGGAGCGUAAGACGGUCGGAGGAAAAACCUCGGUGGGGGUGUCUAGUAGUAUUUCGGAGUGCUGUCGCUGGCCUUUCGGCAAUGUGCACGUCUCCGGAGUCCGAUGGGUGUGUAUACCCCCAACCCCCCCUCGGCCUCGGUCUCCUUCCCAACCUCUGAAGCUCCUGUACCUCUCUAACGCCAUUGUGCACCUUGUUGUAGGUCUCGGCCAGGGACCUAUGUAUUCCUUUUUUUUUAAAGCUCUCUGCCUGUAGACAGAACGUUGUCUUUUGACAAACAUGUCAUAUAAACAUAUAUAUAACUUUCAGCAAUGGAUCUCUUGGCUCUCGCAUCGAUGAAGAACGCACCGAAUCGCGAUAAGUAAUGUGAAUUGCAGAUUUUGCGUGAAUCAUCGAAUCUUUGAACGCACCUUGCGCUCCUUGGUAUUCCGAGGAGCAUGCCUGUUUGAGUGUCAUCGAAAUCUCAAAUCCUAAGCUUUGCUUCGGUCGCCGACUCGGAGCGAGCUCGGACUUGGACUUUGGGAGUUUGCGGGCGACCCGACUUUGCUCGGGACGCCGGCUCUCCUCGAAUGCAUUAACGGUGGGCUUCGAGCCUUUGCACAGCACGGCCUGUUCGACG
rnacentral:rRNA from 1 species